GAUGAAGAACGCAGCGAAAUGCGAUAAGUAAUGUGAAUUGCAGAAUUCAGUGAAUCAUCGAAUCUUUGAACGCACAUUGCGCCCCCUGGUAUUCCGGGGGGCACGCCUGUCCGAGCGUCAUUACAACCCUCAAGCUCAGCUUGGUGUUGGGCCCCGCCGCCCCGGCGGGCCCUAAAGUCAGUGGCGGUGCCGUCCGGCUCCGAGCGUAGUAAUUCUUCUCGCUCUGGAGGUCCGGUCGUGUGCUCGCCAGCAACCCCCAAUUUUUUUCAGGUUGACCUCGGAUCAGGUAGGGAUACCCGCUGAACUUAAGCAUAUCAAUAAGCGGAGGA
rnacentral:misc_RNA from 1 species